rnacentral:rRNA from 1 species
UACGGGGGGGGCAAGCGUUGUUCGGAAUUACUGGGCGUAAAGGGCUCGUAGGCGGCCAACUAAGUCGGACGUGAAAUCCCCAGGCUCAACUUGGGAACUGCAUCCGAUACUGGAUGGCUUGAAUCCGGGAGAGGGAUGCAGAAUUCCAGGUGUAGCGGUGAAAUGCGUAGAUAUCUGGAGGAAUACCGGUGGCGAAGGCGGCAUCCUGGACCGGCAUUGACGCUGAUGAGCGAAAGCUAGGGGAGCAAACGGG